GUGGUGGUGGUAAAAGAGGAAAGUAUUAAAAUCCAAGAAAAAGAAACAAGAGGAAAAGGAAAGCAGGAUCUAGCAAAGAUUUUUGUAGCUGCAAGCAAUGGUCUUGUCUGAGCAACAGCCAGUUUCCUUGGAUUUCUGUUAAUGAUAUAGCCAAGCUGAUGUUUACCUGGCUCCAUGUGCUGCUCUUCAGGACAAAGAAGUCUUGGCCUGGGUGGCUAUUAUCUCUGCUCUUGGGGAAAGACACAAUAUCCUUGCAAGCAUUCAGCACAUGCUGCCCUCCCGCCUCUGGCACCAGAUUUCACCAGCGUCACCCCACCAUUCCAAACUUAAUUCUUGCAGCCAUUUUAAAUGUAUUUAUUGAUGUCAUUUCUUUACUGCCUUUGCUCACACAGUCUUCCAUGGCUGUGUGCAACAAUAAAAGCCACAAAUUAUACAA